rnacentral:rRNA from 14 species
CCGACACAGGUGGAAUGGUAGAGUAUACCAAGGCGUUUGAGAGAAGUAUCCUGAAGGAACUCGGCAAAUUGCCUCCGUACCUUCGGAAGAAGGAGGCCCCACUUAUGGGCAACCAUUUGUGGGGGGCACAGGCCAGGGGGUAGCGACUGUUUAGCAAAAACACAGGGCUCUGCUAAGUCGGCUUCAAGACGACGUAUAGGGUCUGACG